GACGAACGCUGACGGCGUGCCUAACACAUGCAAGUCAAGGGGCCUUCGGGUCACUGGCGCACGGGUGAGUAACGCGUAGAUUAUCUGCCCAUAUCUCUGACAUAACUGCUGGAAACGGUAGCUAAUAUCAGAUGAGGCCUACGGGUCAAAGUUUUAAUGGAUAUGGAUGAGUCUGCGUCUGAUUAGCUAGUUGGUAGUGUAAUGGACUACCAAGGCAACGAUCAGUAACUGGUCUGAGAGGACGAUCAGUCACACUGGAACUGAGACACGGUCCAG
rnacentral:rRNA from 1 species